GAGAGUGACAGUGUUGGUGAAGGCCGUGGGUGUGUUGGUCAGAGAGUGACAGUGUUGGUGAAGGCCGUGGGUGUGCUAGAAAUAAAAGUCGUGACUCGUCUUUGUGGAAAAGUAAAGCUGCAGAAGGUACAAUUACGUCACUAUGACGCCACCGUCUUACACCUGUCAGUAAUACUUCUUCUGUCUAGUAUGAUAAUUAUUUUCAGAGCUGCAUGUACCCGCGGGGGUUCCUCCAGCACUACUGCCUGGCUCCCUGCCACACGCUGAAUGGCUUGAUCUGCUCCUCUCCGGGGUUGAUGCUGCACACAUAGACUGGGCAGUCCAGGUGUCUCAACAACUACAGGCAGUUAACAGGGACUAUGACUCGCUGAGGUUCCCCCGUUGUCUGCUGAGUGACCUAGAACUGGGUGUGUUGGCCAGCCAGCUGAGACGUCGUCACGUGCGGGCGACUACACUUGUUGUGCAGGGAGACAAGGAGGAGACCUUCACUCUGUCCGGAUACACAGUCUGGAG